AGAGUGAACGCUGGCGGUAGGCCUAACACAUGCAAGUCGAACGGCAGCACAGUAGGAGCUUGCUCUUACGGGUGGCGAGUGGCGGACGGGUGAGGAAUACAUCGGAAUCUACCUUUUGGUGGGGGAUAACGUAGGGAAACUUACGCUAAUACCGCAUACGCCCUUCGGGGGAAAGCCGGGGACCAGCAAUGGCCUGGUGCUGAUAGAUGAGCCGAUGUCGGAUUAGCUAGUUGGUGAGGUAAUGGCUCACCAAGGCGACGAUCCGUAGCUGGUCUGAGAGGAUGAUCAGCCACACUGGAACUGAGACACGGUCAGACU
rnacentral:rRNA from 1 species